rnacentral:rRNA from 1 species
UUAAGUUAAUAAGGGCGCACGGUGGAUGCCUUGGCACUAGGAGCCGACGAAGGACGUGACAAACGACGAUAUGCCUUGGGUAGCUGUAAGUAAGCGAUGAUCCAGGGAUUUCCGAAUGGGGGAACCCAACAGGUAAUACCUGUUACCUACAUCUGUUAAGGAUGUGAGGAGGAAGACGCAGUGAACUGAAACAUCUAAGUAACUGCAGGAAGAGAAAGCAAAAGCGAUUGCCUUAGUAGCGGCGAGCGAAACGGCAGAAGGGCAAACCGAAGAGUUUACUCUUCGGGGUUGUAGGACUGCAAUGUGGACUCAAAGAUUAUAGAAGAAUGAUUUGGGAAGAUCAGCCAAAGAGAGUAAUAGCCUCGUAUUUAAAAUAGUCUUUGUACUUAGCAGUAUCCUGAGUACGGCGGGACACGUGAAAUCCCGUCGGAAUCUGGGAGGACCAUCUCCCAACCCUAAAUACUCCCUAGUGACCGAUAGUGAACCAGUACCGUGAGGGAAAGGUGAAAAGCACCCCGGGAGGGGAGUGAAAUAGAACCUGAAACCGUGUGCCUACAACAAGUUCGAGCCCGUUAAUGGGUGAGAGCGUGCCUUUUGUAGAAUGAACCGGCGAGUUACGUUAUGAUGCGAGGUUAAGUUGAAGAGACGGAGCCGUAGGGAAACCGAGUCUGAAUAGGGCGCCUUAGUAUCAUGACGUAGACCCGAAACCAUGUGACCUACCCAUGAGCAGGUUGAAGGUGCGGUAAGACGCACUGGAGGACCGAACCAGGGCACGUUGAAAAGUGCUUGGAUGACUUGUGGGUAGCGGAGAAAUUCCAAACGAACUUGGAGAUAGCUGGUUCUCUCCGAAAUAGCUUUAGGGCUAGCGUCGACAUUAGAGAUUCUUGGAGGUAGAGCACUGUUUGGGUGAGGGGUCCAUCCCGGAUUACCAAUCUCAGAUAAACUCCGAAUGCCAAUGAAUUAUGGUCGGCAGUCAGACUGCGAGUGCUAAGAUCCGUAGUCGAAAGGGAAACAGCCCAGACCACCAGCUAAGGUCCCAAAAUAAUUGUUAAGUGGAAAAGGAUGUGGGGUUGCACAGACAACUAGGAUGUUAGCUUAGAAGCAGCUAUUCAUUCAAAGAGUGCGUAAUAGCUCACUAGUCGAGUGACCCUGCGCCGAAAAUGUACCGGGGCUAAAACAAUUUACCGAAGCUGUGGAUACCUUUAUAGGUAUGGUAGGAGAGCGUUCUAUGUGUGAUGAAGGUAUACCGUGAGGAGUGCUGGAACGCAUAGAAGUGAGAAUGCCGGUAUGAGUAGCGAAAGACAGGUGAGAAUCCUGUCCACCGUAAGACUAAGGUUUCCAGGGGAAGGCUCGUCCGCCCUGGGUUAGUCGGGACCUAAGGAGAGACCGAAAGGUGUAUCCGAUGGACAACAGGUUGAUAUUCCUGUACUAGAGUAUGUAGUGAUGGAGGGACGCAGUAGGCUAACUAAAGCAGACGAUUGGAAGAGUCUGUCUAAGCAGUGAGGUGUGAAUUGAGUCAAAUGCUUAAUUCUAUAACAUUGAGCUGUGAUGGGGAGCGAAGUUUAGUAGCGAAGUUAGUGACGUCACACUGCCAAGAAAAGCUUCUAGCGUUUAAACAUACUCUACCCGUACCGCAAACCGACACAGGUAGUCGAGGCGAGUAGCCUCAGGUGAGCGAGAGAACUCUCGUUAAGGAACUCGGCAAAAUGACCCCGUAACUUCGGGAGAAGGGGUGCUGACUUAAAGUCAGCCGCAGUGAAUAGGCCCAAGCAACUGUUUAUCAAAAACACAGCUCUCUGCUAAAUCGUAAGAUGAUGUAUAGGGGGUGACGCCUGCCCGGUGCUGGAAGGUUAAGAGGAGUGCUUAGCGUAAGCGAAGGUAUGAAUUGAAGCCCCAGUAAACGGCGGCCGUAACUAUAACGGUCCUAAGGUAGCGAAAUUCCUUGUCGGGUAAGUUCCGACCCGCACGAAAGGCGUAAUGAUUUGGGCACUGUCUCAACGAGAGACUCGGUGAAAUUUUAGUACCUGUGAAGAUGCAGGUUACCCGCGACAGGACGGAAAGACCCCAUGGAGCUUUACUGCAGUUUGAUAUUGAGUGUCUGUACCACAUGUACAGGAUAGGUAGGAGUCUAAGAGAUCGGGACGCCAGUUUCGAAGGAGACGCUGUUGGGAUACUACCCUUGUGUUAUGGCCACUCUAACCCAGAUAGGUGAUCCCUAUCGGAGACAGUGUCUGACGGGCAGUUUGACUGGGGCGGUCGCCUCCUAAAAGGUAACGGAGGCGCCCAAAGGUUCCCUCAGAAUGGUUGGAAAUCAUUCGCAGAGUGUAAAGGUAUAAGGGAGCUUGACUGCGAGAGCUACAACUCGAGCAGGGACGAAAGUCGGGCUUAGUGAUCCGGUGGUUCCGUAUGGAAGGGCCAUCGCUCAACGGAUAAAAGCUACCCUGGGGAUAACAGGCUUAUCUCCCCCAAGAGUUCACAUCGACGGGGAGGUUUGGCACCUCGAUGUCGGCUCGUCGCAUCCUGGGGCUGUAGUCGGUCCCAAGGGUUGGGCUGUUCGCCCAUUAAAGCGGCACGCGAGCUGGGUUCAGAACGUCGUGAGACAGUUCGGUCCCUAUCCGUCGCGGGCGUAGGAAAUUUGAGAGGAUCUGCUCCUAGUACGAGAGGACCAGAGUGGACUUACCGCUGGUGUACCAGUUGUCUUGCCAAAGGCAUCGCUGGGUAGCUAUGUAGGGAAGGGAUAAACGCUGAAAGCAUCUAAGUGUGAAACCCACCUCAAGAUGAGAUUUCCCAUGAUUAUAUAUCAGUAAGAGCCCUGAGAGAUGAUCAGGUAGAUAGGUUAGAAGUGGAAGUGUGGCGACACAUGUAGCGGACUAAUACUAAUAGCUCGAGGACUUAUCCAA